GGCUUGAUGGUCUAGUAGUAUGAUUCCUUCUUAGGGCGCUGUAUUGCUCGGCAUUAUUUGGAGGAGGUCCCGGGUUCAAUUCCCGGUCAAGCCC